AUCGAAACAGGGGAGACCUAUUUAUCAUCAAUUCGGCAACUUGCCAGUCGGAUUCAAGGUGGAACAAUGGUCCAAAGACUGAAAAAAGAAAGAGAGGAAGCUUACCUCGCCUCUGGCGAGUUUUUCGGCCGAAUCGACAGUAAAAACCCUAAGUAUCUCCAAUGGAAAGCCUAGAGUUUUAUGUUAAGGGAAGAGCUCCCAAGGUUGAUGCUAAAGGAGAGGAAGGACACUCUUUUAUAGGUGAAAAUCGGCUCAAACUUGGAAGGAUUCGGUCAUCUUCAGUCCCUUCCUCCUGGCGGGACCAGAGAGCGAAGAGAGACUCCUGUUCGGAGUCCGACUUCUUCCUCUCCUACAUGCAUGGGCUGUGUGAGCCCUUGCUCACAUGAGCUUGUGAUCCAAUUCAUGUGCAGACUAGCAAUGGGCUGGGCCGAUCAAGUGGAUCAGGUCUAGACUGGGCCUUCACAAUAUUAACUUAGUUUAUGUCAAAUGUACGCUAUUUGGCACAAUAAAAGGAAUAAGUCCUUUUUAUUCUGCCUUAUUCCGCAAGCAAACACAACCUUAGUUCAUCAGAAAAUUGCUUAACCUAUUUCAGCCACUAUCAAUGACCAGUAUUUCCUACUUGCACUUUCUAUCUUCAAAUUAAUUCUUAGCUACUCCCCUCCACCUUCUAGCUUUCUUGUCUUCAAUACUCUCCUCAUGCACACCUUUAUGCACACAGGCAAUCCUAGCAAUUUCCCUUAUCCACAACUAUUUACUUAGGCAACCUUGGCAAUUGCCCUAGAAUAUUUGUAGCUUCAAUCUGCAGGCCUCCACUUGCUAAGUGUUAACCAUUGCCGCUAAUUGAUGACCUGUCCAAUCCUCAAUUCUAUACCUUUGACACCCAAAAAACUAAGAUUUGAUGAGCACCUUGCCUAAUCAAAUUACACCCUUUUUUCAACCCUUAAAUCUCAUUAGCACUCAUCCAUCUCGGAAGAAUAGCAUAUUCUUCUUUCAAAUCAUUAUAGUACGAGUUAUUAUGUUCAUUUCAAAAUUGAUACUAAGUCAAAUAAGUAGUCUCCUGGCUCCUAUUAUCACACCAAAGGAAAAAGAACCACCUCAAAGAUCAAUAUUUAUGUAUAAACUAGGAGUUAGUCUCUCGUAUCCCAUGUUUCCACUUAGUAAUAAUUGUCUAGACAAUCUUUAAUCAAUGUGGUGACUGAAACUUAAUUUUUCCCUUCAUGCCUUUAGGAUCCCG
rnacentral:lncRNA from 1 species